rnacentral:rRNA from 1 species
UACAGAGGGGGCAAGCGUUGUUCGGAAUUACUGGGCGUAAAGGGCGCGUAGGCGGCCUUCUAAGUCGAACGUGAAAUCCCCGGGCUCAACCCGGGAACUGCGUCCGAUACUGGAAGGCUUGAAUCCGGGAGAGGGAUGCGGAAUUCCUGGUGUAGCGGUGAAAUGCGCAGAUAUCAGGAGGAACACCGGUGGCGAAGGCGGGUCUCUGGGCCAUAACUGACGCUGAGGAGCGAAAGCGUGGGGAGCGAACAGG